UGGCAUCCGUAGUCGGUCCCCAGACCUCUCCUCUGUGUUGGGUUCUGUUGUGUUGGGUUCUGUUGUGUUGGGUUGGGUUGGGUUAUGUUGUGUUGUGUUGGGUUCUGUUGUGUUGGGUUCUGUUCUGUUGUUGUGUGUUGGGUUCUGUUGUGUUGGGUUCUGUUGUGUUGUGUUGCGUUCUGUUGUGUUGGGUUCUGUUGUGUUGUGUUGGGUUCUGUUGUGUUGUGUUGGGUUCUGUUGUGUUGUGUUGGGUUCUGUUGGGUUCUGUUCUGUGUUGGGUUCUGUUGCGUUGGGUUCUGGUCUGUUAUGUUGGGUUCUGUUCUGUUGUGUUCUGUUGUAUUGUGUUCUGUUGUGUUGGGUUCUGUUGUGUUGUGUUCUGUUGGGUUCUCUUGUGUUGGGUUCUGUUGUGUUCUGUUGGGUUGUGUUGGGUUCUGUUGUGUUGUGUUCUGUUGUGUUCUGUUGUGUUGUGUUCUGUUGUGUUGGGUUCUGUUGUGUUGGGUUCUGUUGUGUUGGGUUCUGUUGUGUUGUGUUCUGUUGUGUUGGGUUCUGUUGUGUUGGGUUCUGUUGUGUUCUGUUGUGUUCUGUUGUGUUGGGUUCUGUUGUGUUGUGUUGGGUUCUGUUGUGUUGGGUUAUGUUGUGUUUUGUUGGGUUCUGUUGUGUUCUGUUGGGUUCUGUUCUGUUGUGUUGUGUUCUGUUGUGUUGUGUUCUGUUCUGUUCUGUUGUGUUGGGUUCUGUUGUGUUCUGUUGGGUCUGUUGUGUUGUGUUGGGUUCUGUUGUGUUCUGUUGUGUUGGGUUCUGUUCUGUUGUGUUCUGUUGUGUUGGGUUGGGUUCUGUUGAGUUGGGUUCUGUUGUGUUGUGUUGUGUUCUGUUGGGUUCUGUUCUGUUGUGUUGGGUUCUGUUGAGUUCUGGGUUCUGUUGAGUUGGGUUCUGUUGUGUUGUGUUCUGUUGUGUUGUGUUGGGUUGUGUUCUGUUGUGUUGUGUUGGGUUCUGUUCUGUUGGGUUGGGUUCUGUUGUGUUGUGUUCUGUUGUGUUGUGUUGGGUUCUGUUGUGUUGUGUUGUGUUGUAUUCUGUUGUGUUGUGUUGGGUUCUGUUCUGUUCUGUUGUGUUGGGUUCUGUUGUGUUGUGUUGGGUUCUGUUGGGUUCUGUUCUGUUGUGUUGGGUUCUGUUGUGUUGGGUUCUGUUGUGUUGGGUUCUGUUGUGUUGGGUUGUAUUCUGUUGUGUUGUGUUGGGUUCUGUUGGGUUCUGUUGGGUUCUGUUGUGUUGGGUUCUGUUGUGUUGUGUUGCGUUGUGUUGUGUUGUGUUGGGUUCUGUUCUGUUGGGUUCUUUUGGGUUGUCUCUUUUUCUUUUCACACGUCAGAUAUGAUUUGUUCCAGGGGCCGGUGGAUUAAGGCUGGGGCCCUUGUCUCUCCUCUCACAUGAUGGAGU
ensembl:lncRNA